rnacentral:lncRNA from 1 species
AUGACUAAAGAAAUAAAAGAUGGAGGUUUAAAGGUCAUUAACUUUGAAUAUCUUAAUGGCACCCUAAAGAUUAAAUGGUUAAAAUUUUGGUUAAAUCACCCAAACGACUUUUGGCAUAGUAUCCCCAAUUACAUCUUUAACAAAAUUGGUGGCUUAAAAAUUCUUCUCCUAACUGACUACAAUAUAAACAAACUCCCCAUUAAACUUUCAGAGUUCCAUAAACAAAUUUUAUUGUAUUGGAAAAUGAUAUAUGUACAUAACUACUCACCACACUCUAUAAUCAUUUGGAACAAUCAAUUUAUAUUGCACCGAAACAAAUCAUUAUUCUAUAAAGAUUGGUUAGAUAACAAUAUAUGGUCUAUUAUACACUUAAUGGAUGUAGAUGGUCAGCUCUUGAAUUAUGACAAUUUCUGCAGAAGAUACAAUUUUAAGGCUUCUGAGCUUGACUUUAACAGGUUACAUAAUGCACUUCCAAAACAGUUUAUCAUCCAAGCCCAAGAAUAUCUAAAACAUCAAUGUUCUAUUCCAAUCCUUCCUAUCUUAUCUAUUAAAGGUCUUCUGUUAACUGACAGAAAAUGCAACAAUCUUACAAUAAGAUCAGCCUUAAAUGAUUCUCUAUUUCCUGGAAAAACAAACAAAAAUAACGUAAUUUACAAAUUUGAUAAAACGUCUGUUGAGAAAAUAAGAACUAUCUACCUAAAAUUACCUAUACCACCGAAAGCUAAAGAAACCCACUUUAAAAUAAUGAAUGCAAUGUAUCCUUCAAAAGAAUUAUUGAGAGCUCAUUUUAAUAUUGAUAGCAACAACUGCUCUUUUUGCGAAAAUCACAUAGAAACUAUAGAUCAUAUAUUUUACGAAUGUCUGAAAACACAAUUGUUCUGGAAAAAGCUAGAGGUGUGGAUCAAAACUAAAAUACCCCUCCCAGUUCACAUCACUAAAGAUAUGAUGAUAUUUGGAGUUAUAUUCAAUGAUAAAGAUAAAGAACUCUGCUAUGAUAUCAUCCUCUGUUUAGCCAAAUUUUUUAUCCAUAAACAACAACUUUUACAAUCAUCCCGUCUUCAAUGUUUUUAA